GCCCGCUUAGCUCAGAGGUUAGAGCAUUGUGCUUAUAUGGGUACCUUUCAAGUCCAAGCUUUACGCAAGGGUCGGCAGUUCGAUCCUGCCAGUGGGCA